rnacentral:rRNA from 1 species
CCUACGGGAGGCAGCAGUGGGGAAUUUUGGACAAUGGGCGCAAGCCUGAUCCAGCCAUGCCGCGUGAGUGAAGAAGGCCUUCGGGUUGUAAAGCUCUUUCGGCCGGGACGAAAUCGCAUCUCCUAACACGGGGUGUGGAUGACGGUACCGGAAGAAGAAGCACCGGCUAACUACGUGCCAGCAGCCGCGGUAAUACGUAGGGUGCGAGCGUUAAUCGGAAUUACUGGGCGUAAAGCGUGCGCAGGCGGUUUUGUAAGCCAGAUGUGAAAUCCCCGGGCUUAACCUGGGAACUGCAUUUGGGACUGCAAGGCUAGAGUACGGCAGAGGGAGGUGGAAUUCCACGUGUAGCAGUGAAAUGCGUAGAUAUGUGGAGGAACACCGAUGGCGAAGGCAGCCUCCUGGGCUAGUACUGACGCUCAUGCACGAAAGCGUGGGGAGCAAACAGGAUUAGAUACCCUAGUAGUC